AAUCCGACUUUGUUGUUCAGGCAAAGAAACAUAACUCUUGCAAUAAAUUGAAUUGCGCGGUUUUGACACUAUCCCCCCAAAUACCUAUUAUGACACUUUCCCUCUUCGUAAUCCCUGGGUAUAUAUAGUGCGCAAGCGCUAAUUGCCGGUCUUUUUCGAGUUGCAUGCCAACGAAAAUCCAAAUUGAACAGAUCUGGAAUUUCAAUUCAACACCAUCACCCCGUCCUCGACUGAUUCACCAUAUAUUGGGGCGACUCGCUUCAUCUCUACCGCCAUAUUGUACACGCCGUGUAGGGCAUCAUGAAAAUGUUGCGACGUACCGAGCGACAAUCUAAGUCGCCUUAUGCUAGACCGGCACAACAUCCAGCUCUUCGGUCAUUGCCCACACAGAAUCUGACCCCUGCAAUUCCAACCCGGAUUCAGCCCCGUCCGACAUCAAGUCAACCCCAAGAGGAGAAUCAGAUGGGCAUAUAGGACACAGCUAUCAUUUAAUCACAAAGGUAGCCUCCCAGCCUAAUCGCGGAAACCACCGCACCCACACAGCCACCGGCGACACCCUUCAUAACAGGUGAAAAUCCCCUUUCUUAACGCACAGCAUGUUUAUAAUUUUCGUAAUUUUAUUUCAUAUUAUUGAUGUUUUGCUAGCAUUGUUUUGAUAUUACCUGCCUUAAUGCUAUGGUAAUUUCCAUUUACUACUUUAAUAACACGCUGUAUCAAUUUUAUUGUGCGCAGUGCUUAAUGGUUAUUUAUUAUAACAUAAUUAUGCGCCCCCCACCUUUCACGGAAGAGGGGCAUAUAUUAGUUUACACCUGAUGGUUGGCAGACUACGUGUUGCCCGCUCAAUAUCACCAAUUACUUCAUCGUAAUGACGUUUUAUAUGGGAGUUGUUAACUUGGUUAUGAGUUGACGAGGACCCCUAUUGUUUUUCUGGUCAAGGGUCAAUCUUCUCUGGACAUAGGAAUACCUAGUCUGCUCAAUAUCUUGAGAACCCUUUGCUUGACAGACAUCAAACUUAGUACACUGGUACAUCCCAAAGAGUAGAUAACCCCUAUUGAUUUUGAAGUCACAUGGUCAAGGGUCAAACAGGACAUAGAAAUUAUAUACUGACCACUCAAUGUCUAGAGAACCCUUUGCUUGACAGACAUCAAACUUGGUACACUGGUACAUCAUCAGAAGAUGACCCCUCUUGAUUUUAAGUCACAUGGUUAAAGGCCAAGGGUCAAACUGGACAUAUGUAUAUAUUGACCACUUAAUGUCUAGAUAACCCUUUGCUCGACAGACAUCAAAUUUGGUACACUGGUGCAUCUUCAGGAGAUGACCCCCCUUGAUUUUGAGGUCACAUGGCCAAUGGUCAAACUGGACACAGAAAUAUAUUGUCCAAUCAAUAUCUUGAGAACCCUUUGCUUGACAGACAUCAAAUUUGGUACAUCUUAAGGAGAAGAUGACCCCUAUUGAUUUUGAGGUCACGUGGUCAAUGGUUUAAUUGUUUCCUAAUUUUAAGAAUUCUUCGCUUUACUGACACCAAAUCUGGUACAGCACAAGAAGUAGAUGACCCCCAUUGAUAUUUGGUCACUUGGUCAAUCCACUCCUGACAUUGGAAGAUAUUGUCUGCUCUAUUUCGAAUUGGUGAUACUACUAUCAAUCAAAUUAGGCACGUGUAUACCCGUUUUCAAUUUUGCACCAUGGGGGCAUAUACAUGUAUGUUUUACAAACACAUCUUGUUAUUACAAGCAUUACUGAUGAACUUGGGGCUCACGUUUCUCAAGCCAUCAAAGAUAAAAUUUGGGCAAAGCAUUAUGUCAAUUUAUCUUAACUCUUGAAUUCACAAUCACACAACAACCAUGAUACGCACAAAUUUUCAAUCAUACAAGGUCAAUUAGUUCUCGAACCCAUCAUCAAACAUAACAAAAUUCCCACGAUUCAUAACUCCAUAGAUGGAUUUUUCAUAUUCGCAAGUAUAUAUUUAGCUAGGCACCCUUCUGACAUCCAGGGCAUCUAAAAAAUAUAUUCAUGCCAUUCGCAUAGCACAUGAUCGUAACUAGUUCUAACCGGCUCGAGUACGAUAGGUGUUCAGGCCAACAACAACAAAUCCCUCAACCUCCUUUGGUUCCAUUGAUGCUGGGUUAUGGCUCAUGUAUAUAUGCAAUCCUAGGUUUCCUACCAGGUAACCCUUCAAAUCAGUGAAAAACUACAGACACAUUGCUACAUGCACACUGGUACAUUUAAAUAUUCAUUGUUUGAUUCAAAAUAUUCAGUGAAUUCUGGAUUCAUUGACCUCAAAUGUUGCAAUCAUCACAGUAUUCACUUUAAAGGCCCAUGCCUUAAACCACACAGCAUCAACUUAUCAAAUGGGCAUAAACUCUCUUCAAACUUUCGUACCAAAUAUGAAUUCCAGCUAUGUUGGCCCCCACCAGUUCACCAGUGUAUCAAUUAUAUUGCUUUCUUAAGUACCACCUAAGUAUCGUUUUCAACGGCUAGGUGCAUUAGUUAUAAAAUUCAGUUAGAGGGCGGUAUUGACAACACAAAACCUUCAUAGUAAGCUCAAUCCUACAGGGAUUCCAUAGGCUGAACCUAGUAAAGCAUGCCCGUUUCCCUGUCACUCUUCAUAUAUCUAUCCUACCAAUAGUUUGUUCAAGUUCAUACGAAGUCGCCACGUUUCCCACCGCAUUUCAGUUGGCAAUUUUUGCAUUGUUGCGGGUUGUUGCUAGUCAUGCCGCUCCUACACUAUUGUACAAUUACGUAUCAAUAGGCGAUGUACAUAUUUCGUUGUUUAUAACUGGCUCAAAACAUCAAUGCAAUAGGGGGUUCUAUGUUGCACAUUUCACUCAACUCACGAGCAGAUUCAUUGUUCAAGCACAUGCACAAUUUUUUGUCCAUUAGACCAAUCACGUGGCUCAUUUUACUGCCACCUUAAUGCCAAACCGCUCACAAAAUAUCAACUUGCAUCAUUAUUGCACAGGCCUAUUGAAUUCAUCUGUCUAGAUCCCCAACACGAAAUUCAGACUAGAGGCAGAUGGAAAUGUGAAUCAUUUAAUGCCUAUACCAGAGCCUAAAAAUUCAAAUUUUUAAGUAUACCUGCAAUAUUGUGCGUCCUAAUUCAAUACUACUGUCUGGAUUAUUGCCUCUUCCAUUAAUCAUUAUCCUGCCCGCCGUAUAUGGAUUUACUACACAGCACAUCUUUUUAGUGUGGUAAGAGUGGUAUGGUGUGGAAGGAGGUGGAGCCUAUUGUUGCACAAAGGGGCAAGCCUGAUGUUAUAUAAAUUAAUUGGGGAGGGGGCCGUAUCGGUACAACGCCAUUGGCUAGAUUGCAAAAAUUUCUGAAAUUAACUAUUGCCAGGAUGCCUAUUUACAAACUUAUUCCACAAACUCGGUUCAUAUCGUCCCAGAUCCUCCCCAGGCGUUACUAUACACAUACGUUCUCAAUAUUGCAGCAGCCAAUGCACGUACGAGUAUUAUCAAAUCUUUAGCUCCAUUCGUAACAUCACACAAUGCCGAAUACAUAAAAUACCUAGGUCUUCAACAAUGCUCUUCCAAAUUUCACAGACACAGUAUGCAUUGUCUGAUAUUGCUCAGGUUAUGUUUUUAAACAGUAUCUAGGAUGGAUUGCUCAGCAUUGUCCAAAGAAACGCUAGAAUAUUUCCUUAACCUAACUACUAUUUGAUAAGCAGUCUCCCUGUCAUGGCUCGAGCAAAAUUUUGCCCGCUUGUGGCGGAUGUCUUCAUGUAUGUUAACACUUCUUAAACAUACAUGAAGACAUAUGGCCGAAUUUUGCUAAGCCUGCCACAGAUUUUGUUUCAGUCCAGGUCCGUGGCCAAUAAUUGGGCUUAUUGACAUUGAAUGAUUGAUUGAUAUAUUGAUUGAUUGACACAUUGGUGGAUUGAAAUAUUGAUUGAUUGACACAUUGGUGGAUUGAUUGAUUGAUUGAAAAUAUUGAAUGAAUUAUUGAUUGAUAUAUUGAUUGAUUGACACAUUGGUGGAUUGAAAUAUUGAUUGAUUGAUUGAAAAUAUUGAAUGAAUUAUUGAUUGAUUGACACAUUGGUGGAUUGAAAUAUUGAUUGAUUGAAAAUAUUGAGUGAAUUAUUGAUUGAUUGACUCAAACAUGCAUGGACUAUUGAUGCUACAACAUUACUAUCCAAAAGUCGUUGUAGAUCAUGCAUUUCAUUACAGAGUGUGUAUGAUAUACAUACUGAUGGUUUGUAUUGAUAUGAACAUUGUCGUUGUCAGAAUUGGAAAUAUGUUUUUAUUAAGUAAAGCCAUGACAAAGACUGCCAAUACGUGUUAUCGUUCUGUUCUAUUGAAAUAAUCCGACUUAACUCACUAUGAGUUAAGUCCUGUUAUUGAAAUGAACAGAAAAAAGUAUUUGUUGUUCAGGCAAAGAAACAUAACUCUUGCAAUAGAAUUGCGCGGUUUUGACACUAUCCCCCCAAAUACCUAUUAUGACACUUUCCCUCUUCGUAAUCCCUGGGUAUAUAUAGUGCGCAAGCGCUAAUUGCCGGUCUUUUUCGAGUUGCAUGCCAACGAAAAUCCAAACCCUCCCUCCACUCCCCCUUUUUUCUGAGCAUAUAUGCAUCCAUCCUUGUUGCGUUUUUGCUGUCUCUCUCUGUGUAUUUUCAGAUCCAUUUUGUCAACGUGACUCGACUCUCCGCCUUCACGAUGCGUCAUGGCUCUACGAAUUUACGAGUUGUCAGUGGUCAAUAAUAGACAAUCGCCGAAUUUUGCUAAGCCUGCCACAGAUUUUGUUUCAGUCCAGGUCCGUGGCCAAUAAUUGGGCUUAUUGACAUUGAAUGAUUGAUUGAUUGACACAUUGGUGGAUUGGAAUAUUGAUUGAUUGACACAUUGGUGGAUUGAAAUAUUGAUUGAUUGAUUGAAAAUAUUGAAUGAAUUAUUGAUUGAUAUAUUGAUUGAUUGACACAUUGGUGGAUUGAAAUAUUGAUUGAUUGAUUGAUUGAAAAUAUUGAAUGAAUUAUUGACUGAUUGACACAUUGGUGGAUUGAAAUAUUGAUUGAUUGAAAAUAUUGAGUGAAUUAUUGAUUGAUUGACUCAAACAUGCAUGGACUAUUGAUGCUACAACAUUACUAUCCAAAAGUCGUUGUAGAUCAUGCAUUUCAUUACAGAGUGUGUAUGAUAUACAUACUGAUGGUUUGUAUUGAUAUGAACAUUGUCGUUGUCAGAAUUGGAAAUAUGUUUUUAUUAAGUAAAGCCAUGACAAAGACUGCCAA